UACGUAGGGUGCGAGCGUUGUCCGGAAUUACUGGGCGUAAAGAGCUCGUAGGUGGUUUGUCGCGUUGUUCGUGAAAACCGGGGGCUUAACCCUCGGCGUGCGGGCGAUACGGGCAGACUUGAGUACUGCAGGGGAGACUGGAAUUCCUGGUGUAGCGGUGGAAUGCGCAGAUAUCAGGAGGAACACCGGUGGCGAAGGCGGCGACCUGGGUCGAUACUGACGCUGAGGUGCGAAAGCGUGGGGAGCAAACAGG
rnacentral:rRNA from 1 species